CAUGGAGUGCUAUAAAUUUCACUCUAAACACUGCUUUAGUUGUGUCCCGUUGAUUCUGGUACAUUGUGUCUUUGUUCUCAUUGAUUUCAAAGAACUUAUUUAUUUCUGCCUUAAUUUCAUUAUAUAAACUACAAAAUCUAGAAGAAAUGGACAAAUUCCUGGACACAUACACCCUCCCAAGACUAAACCACAAAGAAGUUGAAUUCCUGAAUAGACCAAUAACAUGCUCCGAAAUUGAAGCAAUAAUUAAUAGCCUACCAACCAAAAAAAGUCCAAGA
rnacentral:lncRNA from 1 species